rnacentral:rRNA from 1 species
AUGGGGUGCAGCAGGCGCGAAACCUCCGCAAUACACGAAAGUGUGACGGGGUUACCCAAAGUGUUCAAUUUUGAACUGUGGUAGGUGAGUAAUGUUCCCUACUAGAAAGGAGAGGGCAAGGCUGGUGCCAGCCGCCGCGGUAAAACCAGCUCUUCAAGUGGUCGGGAUAAUUAUUGGGCUUAAAGUGUCCGUAGCCGGUUUAGUAAGUUCCUGGUAAAAUCGGGUAGCUUAACUAUCUAUAUGCUAGGAAUACUACUAUACUAGAGGGCGGGAGAGGUCUGAGGUACUGCAGGGGUAGGAGUGAAAUCUUAUAAUCCUUGUUGGACCACCAGUGGCGAAGGCGUCAGACUGGAACGCGCCUGACGGUGAGGGACGAAAGCCAGGGGAGCGAACCGGAUUAGAUACCCGGGUAGUCCUGGCCGUAAACGAUGCAUACUAGGUGAUGGCACGGCCAUGAGCCGUGUCAGUGCCGUAGGGAAACCGUUAAGUGUGCCGCCUGGGAAGUACGGUCGCAAGGCUAAAACUUAAAGGAAUUGGCGGGGGAGCAC